UACGUAGGGUGCGAGCGUUAAUCGGAAUUACUGGGCGUAAAGCGUGCGCAGGCGGUUUUGUAAGCCGGAUGUGAAAUCCCCGGGCUUAACCUGGGAAUGGCAUUCGGGACUGCAAGGCUGGAGUGCGGCAGAGGAGACUGGAAUUCCGUGGUGUAGCAGUGAAAUGCGUAGAGAUCAGCAGGAACACCCGUGGCGAAGGCGGCUUCCUGGGCCGCGCCUGACGCUGAGACGCGAAAGCGUGGGGAGCGAACGGG
rnacentral:rRNA from 1 species